rnacentral:rRNA from 1 species
AUGAACGCUGGCGGCGUGCCUAACACAUGCAAGUCGAAUGGAGUUCUUAAGGAAUGCGACUUCGGUCAAAUGACUUUUGAACUUAGUGGCGGACGGGUGAGUAACGCGUGAGCAACCUGCCUUUCAGAGGGGGAUAACAUUUGGAAACAGAUGCUAAUACCGCAUAAGAUUACAGUACCGCAUGAUACAGUGAUCAAAGGAGCAAUCCGCUGAAAGAUGGGCUCGCGUCCGAUUAGAUAGUUGGUGAGGUAACGGCCCACCAAGGCGACGAUCAGUAGCCGACCUGAGAGGGUGACCGGCCACAUUGGGACUGAGACACGGCCCAGACUCCUACGGGAGGCAGCAGUGGGGAAUAUUGCACAAUGGAGGAAACUCUGAUGCAGCGACGCCGCGUGAGUGAAGAAGUAAUUCGUUAUGUAAAGCUCUAUCAGCAGGGAAGAUAGCGACGGUACCUGACUAAGAAGCUCCGGCUAACUACGUG